GGAGAUGGGAGGAAGUGUCGGAGGGAGGGGGCAUGGGUAAACCCAUGGAUGAUUCUUGUUGAUGUAUGACAAAAAACCACAAAAUUCUGUAAAGCAAUCAUCCUUCAGUUAAAAAACAAAGUGCAAAAAAAGAGCCACCUGGCCUAUGGUGUUUCUGUUUCAGUAGCCUGAAAGGGCAGACACAGGACAAGUGAGAAUCACAGCACAGGUGAAAUAAGGUACCUCAUCAUUCGGCCUUAAGAUAGGGAAGUGACGUGGAGUAUCUGGCUGUGCCCAAUGCCAUCUCACUACAAGGAGCCUUAGACGUGGAGGAGGGACGUAGACCAGUGUCAGAGAUGCACGCUGAGAGGCUAAACCAGCCCCGGCUCACAUUGACGUGCAGAAGGGGCCAUAAGCCAAGGAGGGCAGGCAGCUUCUAAGCGUGAGAAGGAAGGAAGCCUCCAGAAGGAACGGCAUGCUGCUGACACUGUGAUUUGAAGCCAAUGAGACGCAUUUGGGACUUUGGAUCCUCAGAACCACAAUAACAAAAAUGCUCAUGGUGCAUCUGCCAACUCUUCUUCAUCUCAAAGGAAGAAAGUCACCAGGAGAUCCUCAAAGCACAAUGGACCCAAGCACAGGGACCAACUGCCAGACCCAAAUACCUAGCUACCUGACACUGGCCUAGUGACUGUUUCCAAACAGUGCAAAAAGAGAGAAUUCAGGACCCCUACACUUUUUAUCCCAUAUCUCCAACCCCUGACUGUGAGCCCCAACUGUUUGAUCCCCUGGAUUCCCGAUGGAGGGCAGACAGGCUCCUUGAGGCAGGAACCAAUUGUGUUCUCCCUUCUGCAGGCUUAAGGUUUAAGGCCAUCUUUCUGUUUGCCCCAAACUCUGUCUCUGUAAAUUUUAUUUGGCUCCCAUGGGCAGAGAAAACCAAGAUUUCAGUGGAAACAAUGCCACUGAGUCUGGCUGGUUCCCCACCUCUCUGCCAGGAUGACUCCUGCCAACGGGGAUCAGGAGGCAUCCAGUGUGACCUCACUCACCCCUUCCUCCACCCUAUGUUGACCUGGCCUCUAAUCGUGGAGCCAUGGACAGGGGCUUCCAGGUGUCUCUGCCACAGUCCACCUGAGAAGGGCAGAACUGCAGAACUGCAAGGUAGGUUUCCAGAACAGAGAGAAACAUCUGUGGUUGAAGAAAGCGUGGGAAUAGAUGUGUAACAUUUAGGGAGUCAGUGUAAAGGAUCACUUUCAGUAUAAAAGUACAAGAGAGAAAUGUGGCCAAUUGCCUGUAGGCUAUACUUUCUUUUCCAUUAUUAUAAAAGUAGUGUUGCUGGGACCAAGGAAGUAAAACCCUCACAGCUAUUCUGUAGAAUUAAGUAAGACUUGUUUAAACAGCUUGCUACAAACACUCUAUUUUUAGGUUGAUGUCACUAAACUAAAAUAGAUCUCCACUUAGUGAAAGAUUCAAAUGCUGAUCAAAAGAUUAAAAGUGAAAACAUUUUGUUGCUAAGUUGCCUCAGGACAGAGAGAAAAAGUCAGAACAUAUAGUUCACGUAAGAUGGAAGAGAGGUGGGUGAGUGAAGGCUAGAGACCAUGACGUAUUAUGAACUGCUUUGACCUGUUGGUUGGGAGUGGUUGAGUGGGUGCUUUUGCUUGGGAACACUUUGGGAUAAAGCAACUUAAUGGGCUCUCUCCAGACCCUCAAAACCCUAAGGAUUAUGCCCAAGCCUUCCUUUCUUUUCUCCUUCCCUCCCUCAUUCCCUCCAUUCAUAUCCAUUUAUUCGUUUACCUAUAUGUUCACACUUCCAUACUAGUACCUAUUCAUAGAAACAAAUGUUUGACUACCUGCUCUGUGCCAGGCACUGUUCUAGGUGCUGAGACUGUGAGAUAAUAAAACAGGACUUGUUACUUUGUAGACUUACAUAUAAAGAAAAAGAGAGGUAUGAACAUGUAAGGCAAAACCAAGUGGAGAGAAGGAAGACAUAGAGAAAAAUAUCAAUGAUAUACCUGGUAUGCACGUGUGCUAAGUCACUUCAGUUGCGUCCAAAUCUUUGUGACCCCAUGGACUGUAGCCCACCAGGCUCCUCUGUCCAUGGGAUUCUCCAG